rnacentral:tmRNA from 1 species
GGGGGCGACCUGGUUUCGACGGGAUGACGAAGACCAUUGGCUGCAUGUAGUGUUUUCCCAAAAUCACUUUAAAAAAUUGGACGCCAAUUAUAAACGGCGAAUCUAACUACGCACUAGCUGCUUAAUUAAAUAGUAGCUCGUUCCUUCUCUGCUCUUGCCCAUUGGCAGGGUCUGGGGCGUCGCUAAAAUGGGAUCGGAGACUCAUUCGUCAACGGUGGGAAUCUUAAACUUAGUUGAAUAGUCGUUAUAAGAUCCAGUCCGGAGGAGCUGUAACGGUGAAUUUAAAGUUCGGAAUAAACAUGUAGACGCUGAUCGGCUUUGCGUUUCGGACGGGAGUUCGAUUCUCCCCGCCUCCACAU